UACGGAGGGGGCUAGCGUUGUUCGGAAUGACUGGGCGUAAAGCGCGCGUAGGCGGAUCAUCAAGUCGGGGGGUGAAAUCCCGGGGCUCAACCCCGGCACGGCCUUCGAGACUGGUGGUCUUGAGUUCGAGAGAGGUGAGUGGAAUUCCUGGUGUAGCGGUGAAAUGCGCAGAUAUCAGGAGGAACACCGAUUGCGAAGGCAGCUCGCUGGAACGUUACUGACGCUGAGACGCGAAAGCGUGGGGAGCAAACAGG
rnacentral:rRNA from 1 species